ensembl:lncRNA
GUUCACCUCUUUAGUGCCAACAACAAUCAAAACUGCCCUUUGCUUCCUAGUCCCAGAUAUUUGCUACCUUUAAAUGGGGCAUAAAGUCCAUCCAAGAACUCACUUUGAUGAACAUUCCCUGCUUUGUUAGCAGCUGGAAAAUGACCACAGCCCUUUCCCCAGGCCAGGCACCGCCCACUCUGAAGGGCAAUAAGGAUUUAAAACUGAGAUGCACAGAGUAACUCAGGUACUCAGUUUGGGGAGGAGGGCUGGGUUCUUUCUGACCAGCCGAGCACCAGGCCCUGGACUUCUCCAGCCGCAAGAUGAAGGUCCGAGGCCGGGAUUGCCGUGGUGACUGCCACCUCAGCAUCGGCAAGAACAGCAGUGUCCCCAGAGGCCAGUGCAGCCUUACCGCCUACACUGUCUUCCCACUGGAAAAUGUUAUAGCUCGUCUCUGGUGUUAAUAAUAGGAGGUGGGAAUUGACUAUUUUACUUCUAGCAACCCAAAUGGCAAGGCUUCCCAUGUAGUCUGGGACAGGGACAUGUUCUGAACAGAGAUCUCUCAAACAGCUUUUGCACCAGCAGGACAAACAGAGCCAGGCUAUAUUGUUCAGAACCAGAGUAGCAACCAUACCAUUAAUUGAAAUUUCUUCCAAACAGGCAUGCCUGAACUUGGCCGAGAUGCUCCUCCCACCUGAGGCUUCUCAGAGCCAAAGACAAGUUUCAUCAACAUUCAUCUAACCCUCCAGCCCAAAGCACAGUGACUUACAAUCACCUUUUUUUUUUUUUCUUUUGCUUACCAUGUUAAGGGUUGGCUGAGCUUCGCUGAGGGCUUCUGGUGGACCGGCUUGGAGUGUCUCUGAGGCUGCAUUCAGAUGGGAGUGUGGCUAUGGACGGAACAUUCAAGAUGGCCUCUCAUCCUCCAGAGCAGGACUUGGCAAACUAGGACACCCGGCCCCAGGCCAAAUCCAACCCACAGCUUGUUUCUGUACUGCCACAGGCUAAGAAUAGUACUUACAAUUUUAAAUGGUUGGGGGAAAAAAAAGAAAAAGAAACAUCUUGUGACAUGUGAAAAUUAUCUAAAAUUCAAAUUUCAGUUUAUAAUAUUUCACUUGGAACACAGCCAUGCCCAUCCACUUACAUAUUGUUCAUGGCGGCUUUUGUACUGCAGUGCAGAGUUGAGCAGUUACAACAGUCAGAAAGGCCAUAUCCAGUCACUUGUGAUGGAACAUGAUGGAGGAUAAUGUGAGAAAAAGAAUAUAUACAUAUAUAUAUAUAUGUGUGUGUGUGUGUGACUGGGUCACUUUGCUGUAUAGUAGAAAUUGAAAAAAUCAACUAUAACGGAAAAAAUAAAAAUCAUAAAAAAAUAAAGGCGAUUUUGCCAAAAGUCUAUAUAAAAUUAAAAAAAAAAAAAGAAUGAAAGAAAGAAAGGCCACAUGGCCUGCAAAGCUGAAAAUAUUUACUAUCUGGCCCAUGACAGAAAAAGUCUUCUGACCCCUACUCCUGAGCUUCUCUUCAAAGACAUCUUCAUUAAACAUCAGUGGGUUAUUUUUAGAAUGUUUAGGUUUUUUUCUUUCUAAAUGAUGAGGUAAGAAGAGAAUUUAGCCUGUCACUUGCGAGCAUGAUCUCCAAAUAAUAUAGUGCAGGUGUGAGUAAUUUGGGGCUUAAAAAAAAACCUGAAUAUAAUUUUCAUUAUAUUUACUCCAUUUAACAUCAUUUUUCAGAUUACUGGAGAAAUUCUGAGGCCUUACCUAAUAUUUUUAUCAGACACAGGCAAAUAAUGGAACCAUCAAUGACCAUGAAGGGUAAACUUCCGAAUCGGUGUCUUUUUUACACUCCUUGUUACCUUGGUGUUACACUGGAAUUCCUGUGCUUCUUGUCUUUACUCAAAUUCACAUUCUGAAAAUAAAUUAGCUGCUUAGCAUAAAAACAAAUUUAACAGUUUAACUGUCAAAGCUACCUUUCCUUGCCACUGCUAUGCGGCUGAAUAUUUGCAAUCAAAGUCAUAAUAAGCAUGCUUCCCUCAUCCCCACUGGCUGCAGCAUGGGCACUGGACAUGCAACUGGAGGCUCACAAUGAUUUUUAUUUUGAAGAGAAGAAAUUAAAUAAUUACUGAAUUUAAAAAGGGAGAACUGGAGACAAAUACCUUUUCUGCAUUCUUAAUCUGAAUCCCAAAUGCCUUCCUAAACAAACAGUAGCUGAAAAAUGCUAAACAGAAAGAUACAAUCCUUGCCCUUAAAAAGCUGCCAAAUAAAACAGUAUGGUACAGGAACUGAUGAACACAAAUUACGAUGAGAACACAGAGAUCAGGCACCUGCGCUGGUUUAGCAAUAUCUGGAACACUUGCUCAGGAAACCAGUGAGCGGGAAGGUGGAUCUGCCCAGAAGCUUUCCUGGGGGCCCACCCUGGGCCUGAUGGAGGUGUCAUUACUUGGUCCCCUAGCAGCCUGUCACAGCUGAAAGCAAACUGACCUUUGUUGGUUCACUUGUUCAUCUUCCUCCACAGACUGAUGAGCCUCUUUAAGCAGAAACUGCGUUGUCAUCGGCAUCUUUGGUACCCGCCCAGUAGUAGCUGAUGCAUCAGUCACCUAAUAAGUGAACAUGCGGAAGCUUCUAGGAUGCUGAAAACAUUCCUUCUCUUAGAUGCACCCAAUGUUUAAAGACAAUAUUUUAUGUGCAUGCAAUGAUAAAUUUAAAAAUCUAUACUAGUUAAUGAUUGAAGUGCCAAUACCAAAUUUUGGAUGCAAGAACAGGGUCAGGAACCUAGGGAGACGCAAAGACAAACGAGACACAAUCACUGCUCUCCAUAAACUUACGGCUUCCCCUGCAGGUUUCAGAGUUCCCACCUCUGUCUGAACUAGAAUCGCUGUCCUUCAUCUGCUCACGCUUUGGAACUCCACAAAAUAUUUCCUCUGAAUAAAGGGCUUCAUUUCUUUAAAAAAUAAAUGAAUAAAAAAGGGAAACUUUGAUCAAUAAGAAAUUUAAGUUUUUUCAAAAUCUUUACAUAUUUUCUCCCCUUCAUUUAUAGGCUGAAAGGAAAUUUAAACGGAGGGAAUAGAGAAUUUACAUUUUUAGAUAUGUUCAUAUUCCUCCCAGACUUCAUCUUAGUUUCUCCUCAGUAGCCUCCUUUACAACUUUCUAAUAUAUAGCAAUUUGCAGUAAUAAAAGUGUUCAUUCUCUCCUAUAUACUGUAAUAUGCUAUAUACUGUAUGUAAUAUACCAUUUGCCAUACUAUACACUUACUGCAAAUACUUACUUCUAUGCACAUGCUUAUUCUUCAUUUUUUUAAUGGCCACACCCAUGACACAUGGAAGUUCCCAGGCCAGGGACUGAAACUGAGCUAUAGCUGCUGCUGGGUCCUUUAACCCUCAGCACUGGGACAGGGACUGAAUCAGUACCUCUACAACCUGAGCUGCUGCAGUCAGAUUCUUAACCCUCUGCACCACAGCAGGAACUCCAAUUUAUUCAAGAUAUGUAAUUCAAAACCGUUAUCUAAUUUCUCUACAGAAUGUUGGAUUUCAAAACUAUCCCAUUUUCAAAAUCGAAUGGUUUAAGAUCAUCUUAAGGAUCCAUAGGCAAUGAAUCCUUCCAUGAGGUUUGUAAAGAAAAAUGAGCCAAAAGACAUACAGGUAUGGUAUUCUUUAUUAUAAACAAUCAGAUAACAGUGUAAGUGUGCAUUUGAAGGAUAACUGAAUGCUAGCUAUAAUGAUAAAAAAAAAAACAUCACUUAAAUAGAAGUAGGUUUUUUGUUGGUGGUGUGUUUUACAUUAAUUUAAACUUAACAUAUUCCAGGAUCACCUAAUCUUCUCAUAGUUUAGCUGUUAACUCCUUAACAGAAAAAGAUGAAAUCUGGAAUGCAUGUUGUAUUUUG